ACUCAAAUGAAUUGACGGGGGCCCGCACAAGCGGCGGAGCAUGUGGCUCAAUUCGAUGCGACGCGAAGAACCUUACCUGGGCUUGACAUGCGGGGUGAAGCCGUGGAAACACGGUCCUCCUACGGGAGCCCGCACAGGUGCUGCAUGGCUGUCGUCAGCUCGUGCCGUGAGGUGUUGCCUUAAGUGGCGCAACGAGCGCAACCCCUGUCCCAUGUUGCCAGCGGGUAGAGCCGGGGACUCAUGGGACACUGCCGGUGCCAAACCGGAGGAAGGUGGGGAUGAAGUCAAGUCAUCAUGGCCCUUAUGCCCAGGGCUGCACACAUGCUACAAUGCGUGGUACAAAGGGUAGCAAUCCCGCAAGGGGGAGCGAAUCCCAAAAAGCCGCGCUCAGUUCGGAUCGGGGUCUGCAACUCGACCCCGUGAAGUCGGAGUCGCUAGUAAUCGCAGAUCAGCAACGCUGCGGUGAAUACGUUCCCGGGCCUUGCACACACCGCCCGU
rnacentral:rRNA from 1 species